GAUUUGUCUGGUCUAAUUCCGUUAACGAACGAGACCUUAACCUGCUAAAUAGCGCCGAGUUACUUUGGUAACGAAGGUGUCUUCUUAGAGGGACGUCACGUGUCUAACGUGAGGMGGUGUGAGGCAAUAACAGGUCUGUGUUGCCCUUAGAUGUUCUGGGCCGCACGCGCGCUACACUGAUGCAUUCAACGAGUUUUUCCUGGUCCGAGAGGAAUGGGUAACCUUUGGGAAAGUGCAUCGUGCUAGGGAUAGACUAUUGCAAUUAUUGGUCUUCAACGAGGAAUUCCUAGUAGACGUAGUUCAUCAGACUGCAUCGAUUACGUCCCUGCCCUUUGUACACACCGCCCGUCGCUCCUACCGAUUGGAUGAUCCGGUGAGCUAUUCGGACCUUUUCUUCUUUGAAUUUCGGCUUUGAGAGGGAAAGUCUCGCGAACCUUAUCAUCUAGAGGAAGGAGAAGUCGUAACAAGGUUUCCGUAGUGAACCUGCAGAAGGAUCA
rnacentral:rRNA from 1 species